GGGCCGCGGCGCCGCCUCCUCCCGCGCCGGGCGGGGCUGCCCGGGGCUCUGCCGCGGGCGCGAGGCAGCCCUGGGCGCGGCGGCGCGCGCCGCUGACGACAAGCCGCCGCCCUCCCACGAAAUGGCGGUGGCGGCCGGAUCUAGCUGCGUGCCGUGACGCGGCGGUGCGGUAUCCCUCCGCGCGCCAAGCGGCCGCCCCGGCUGUCCCGUCAGCGCCGGGAGGAGCCGGUGCCGCUGGGCGGGGAGGGGCCCGCGCUGCUCCGCCGCCUGCCCGCCCCGGGGCCCGGCAUCGCCCGCCCCCGCUCGGUGCCGCAGCCGCCUGCCGCCGCCGGCCCGCCCUUCCGCGUCUCCGAGCGGCUGCGCCGGGCGGGGCGCCGGGCGGUUUGCGGCGCGGCUGCGGGUUCCUUCCGCCUCGGAAGAAGCGCCCGCGCGCGCCCGGCCCGAGCCGCCGCGGGACGCGGAGCAAGGAGGGUGCGUCGGCGGGAGGCCCAGGGCGAAGGGGCCCGCAGCGGUCACCGGUGCCGGUGAGGCCGUACAGCGCUGCUCUCGGCUGGAGAGAAACCGCGUCAGCGAGGGGGGCCGGCCUGGCGUGAGAGCAGCGGGCCGCACGGCCAGCUGAACCAAGCCGGGUGCAGGCUGCAGGGAGGGCGCAGGCUGUCGGCUGAAGGGACAGGGUAAUAAAGUCAUUACUUAAUUUGCAGUGAUACCUUCUGCUACACUUCCACCUCCUUUGAGGCUUUUUAUUUUGCGCAGCACAGGUUCACAAAUCACUCUCAGCUAGGCCCUUUCUUCUUAACAUAUAAUACAUGGUGCAGAUGUCUGCAGAGUUGUGUACGUGGGGAAGGACUCCUGUUCCCCCUCCAUGGAGAAACAAGCAGAGAAAGACUGCCAGACUGCCUUUCUGUUGUAAUGAGGGAAUGUAUUAAUAAACGUGGCAUUUGCUGUCCUGGGAGUAAAGAUACGUAAUCAGCUAAAGCUGCUGCAGUUUGCCUUCACUGUAGUGCCUUUACUACACUACUGCUAUCUAGGAUGCUAAUUAUUACUUGUCUGGAGAAGGCAGCAUAUUCAUAAAAGCUGAUUGUGUAACCAAGUUUUCAGUACAAAGCUUGGCAAUAGCCUGCAGUGAAUUAGGGGAGCAAUGCUCUUUUUUUAUUUUAAAAAUAGUGUAGUAGGUCUGCCAUAGUUUUUUUAGCAUUCAUAUAAUGUACAGGCUAGAGAGAAAACAACGUCUUGUAAGGUCCAGUUACCUUUUUGUGAUCACCUAAACUCCUCAGAGCAACUUCCUUCUGCAGUCUUCAUUUUCUGCCUAUUAUUUUAAUUGUACCAAACAGCAUAUUGAGGACGAGUAGUCUCAAACAAUUUCAUUAAUGUUCUUACCAUCUUAAUCAAGAAUAUUGCUGAAAAACACCUUGCUGUUCCUUGCCUGCUUUGGAUCAUGGAUGCUAUUAGACUGCUUCAAAUCAUCACCGUGUCUUUCUGUCACACACACUCUGCCUGUAAAUUGCUUCCAAACUUCCUGAACUUCAUUAUUGUUUAUCAUACCGAGAGAUGUAGCUACUUGACAGUAUUCCUGUUCUAUUUUUUUAAUUAUUAUUUUGGAUUAAUUACCUCUAAUAUGACUCCAUUUUAAGAGUUUUGAUCUGGCUUGCAAUUUGCAUUUUACUGUAUAAUGAAAGGAAUGAAAAACAGAGCAAAUACAUUGUUGACACUGUGUAAUUUUCCCUGCUAAUUUAAAACAACAAGAUCUGGUAAAUCAAGUUUUGUUUGUGCGCCUUCCAACAGUUACCUGUUAAAAUCAAUAUAUCUAUUAGCAUUUGACCCCAAAUAGAAUUUAAAAUGUAUCGGAUAGCUCUUGUUAUGGCCAUGGCUCAGAGAUGGGUUUGCAUAUUUUGUUUUAGUAUACCCAUUUAAACAAACUCUUUAUUAUACUCACUGGUAAUUUUUUUAAAAAACAAAUGUGUCAAUUUAAAUACUUACCUUUGAAUACACUUGAGAAAAAGAAAAAAAGUAAUGACUUGUGAAGGAAUGAAAAAUAAGAUGCAUGCUCACAGUUCUGUGGCCAUUCCUGCAAGUCACAGUGCACAGUCCUGCUUGGGGGACAUUGUACUUCUCACCGUCAUCUCUCUUCCUCAAAUUGUGAGGUAAAAAUCAUCUUUUUUCCCUGCAGUGUUUGGAAAUAAAUUGAUUUUUUACUUAAGUAAGAAUACUCAGGCAAGUAACCUUGUGACCGUAAUAUAUUGCUGUGCCAUUCACAAAACUUCUCACCUUUACCAUAAGCAUCAGGUGUACCAUAACGCUACUUGCACAGAUACCUCAUCUAAGAAGACAAAAUGCAAGAGGCACAGGUGGUGGUUACUGAAUAUGGGUGUUGCAACUUACUGUGGAACUACCACAGUCUUAUUUGGGUUUGUUUCACCUUAAUUUGAUUUCUGAAGCUAAUCCUCAGAAAUGCCUGAAGAGAGGUAUUACUAUGUAGUAGAGUCAGGUUAGAUUUUCAGAGGCUUAUUAUGCAAAAUAGCUUGGUAGAUGUGGCACAGUAAUAAACAGUUUGCACAAAAAUACUAAGAACAGACUGGCUCACUUGAACUCCAUCUUUGAAUUUCAUUUGCUUUUUCAAGUACAGUGUGCCAGAGCCCUGUGCAGCCAAGUGGUCAAUAACCUCCAAAGGCUGAAUUUGCCAGUCCGUUUCAGCUGCUUUGUGAUGGUUCAGCAGAGCAAGCACGAAUGGAGAUUGCUUUCAUGUAUUGUUAUAGCACAUCUCAGCGUAGAGUGGACUUGAAGGAAAAGCAUCCCAGCCUUAGUUUAAAGGUGGAGCAACCAAGCACCCUGGACACCAAGCAGCAUUGCAUACAUGGCACUUCAUGUAUCCGAGAGGAAAGGGAGAAACCAGAUGCAGAAUGUUUCAAAAAAUAUCUUCCUUUCUGGGAAAAAAAAGAUUUACUUCCAACAAAAGCAAGACAUCCUGAAUAAUCCGUGCAGUAGACCAUUAUUAGUUCUUGUUUGGAGGAGACAAAACAACAGUUUCUGAUGCUGGAAAACAAAGCACUAAGAUGAUUAACAGCAACAGCUUCCCUGUGUUUGCAUUUAAUACCAGGUCUCAAUUUUCUCUUCAGCAUCCUGUCCAACUUGUUUUUCCUUUAAUUAUCAUAAAUCAAGCUUGCAGUCAAAUCCCUCUUUAAUCAGAGCAAAGCUCACCUAUUUGGGACCCUUUUUAGUUACUGGAGACCACAAAGAAUAAGAUCACAGAAGAAAGGUGAUAAACUAAGAUUGUCCCAUUAGCUUUUUUUAACACAAUAAACAAAAAGGCUGAAUUUGCCAAACCAAGUGCAAGUACGUGACAGUGGAAGAAAAACAGGUUUGGGGGUAUCAUUGGGUUCUACCUGAUCCAUGUUUUAAAUUCUAAAGACCAGCAGCCCUUCAUGUGUAGCUGGGAGCUUCUCCCCUUCAAGGAUGGCAAGGCCCUCAUGUAUAUAUAGACAUGAAUUAGAUCCCCCCCUCAGUCUUCUCUCCAGACUGAAAAGCCCCAGGUCUCUUGGCCUUUCCAUGUAAGGCAGGUGUUCCACUCCCUUAAUCAUCCUCUUAGCUCUCCACUGGACUCUCUCAAGUAUAUCUCUGUCCCUCUUAAAUUGGGGAGCCCAGAACUGGACACAAUACUCCAUGUGAGGUCUCACCAGGGCCGAGUAGAGGGGGAGGAGAACCUCCCUUGAUCUUCUGGAGACACUCCUCUUAAUGCACCCCAAGAUACCACUGGGCUUCUUGGCCACAAGGGCACAUUGUUGUCCCAUGGAUAACAUGUCCACCAGAACUCCAAGGUCCUCCUCCACGGAGCUGCUCUCUAGCAGAUCACCUCCUAGCCUAUACUGGUGUAUUUUGUUGUUCCUUCCCAGGUGCAAAAGAAUAUAAAUUAUUACUUUAGUAACUUACACAAAGAUCAACAGACCAAAGUUUGCUACAAAAUCUUCCGGUCUUCAGGAUUUUCCUUAGCACUUCAUUGUUCAGCACUUUUUUAACCUCAUAGUGACAACGUAGUUUUGUUCCAGUUAAGAAAAUUUUUUCUCUUAUCUUGAAAUCCUUACAGGACAUAGGAGCUAUUUUGCAAGAAUAAAGUUUUGACAACAUAAAAUUCAUUAUGUUAUCUUUGCAGACUUAAAAGACAAAAAUCUCUGAAUAUUGCUACAGGAUAUUAACAUCCAUACAGAGUAUUAAUUUUUUCCCCAGCAAAACUACCGUUUGAUCUAAAUGAAAAAUAUGUUCAAGUCAGCAGCAGUUUGUGUCAACAAGGACUUUCAUUUUCUGUGCUGAUACAGUCAUAUGGAUAUUGAAGCAUGGAACUCAGAUGAGCACAUGCACAGCGUAAUUAUGAUGCCAGUUUUGAAAAAUGAAAAGGCUUGUUGUCGUGCAGUUGCUAACUAUGUUUGUUUUCUUCUUUCGUAGGAAUUCUUUACAUUCCUGAAUAAACACAGAUAAUAUAUGCAUACAUGUCAAAACAGCAUCUUAAAAUAGGGGUGUGAAGACCUGAGCAAUUAGUCACAGUUGCUAAAAUAAGAUAAACACAGGCUAAAUUCAGCAGGUGAAGUCCCUCUCUGGAUCAAAUAACGAGUUUUACCAAUUUCAGUAUGCCAGGGUACACGAGUUGGAGAUCUCUUCAAAAAGGUGUUUAAUGGUGACCUACUUUACCCAAUCCCUUUGGAGGUGGCUGCUUUUCCUUGCUAUACCUGCUUUUUGACCCCUCAGGCUGCCUUUAGACUGCAUGCUAAGUCUGUAGGAGUUCCACUGUUACUGAAAAUGACCAAGAUCUUACAGCAGUUUUCAGCAGUCUUAAUUUGGCCUACUGUUUUUACUAAAGGAGACAUCAGAGGAUUCUCUGAAGCACUUUCAAGAUACAUCUAUUUUUAUUACUUUGGUGUUUUUGACUACUAGUCAGAUUUGGACCAUCAUCAUUCGGUUGCUCCUUCGAUACUCGUUCCAGGAUGCAAAUAUAUGAAGCAAACCACAACCUUGGGGAGUGUUUGGGUUUAACAAAUUAUUUGACCGGUGUACCUAAUGCACUAUAAAAGUUGCUUAUCUAGAUAAAACGUUAAGGAUUAAAGUUAAUUAUUCAAACAGGCCAGCUAACAUAUUUCACAGGCUCCCUAGUAUAGGCAAGGCUGUUCAGACUUCACAACAUGUUGAUUUAUUUGAAGCACAGGCUUCCGUUCACCUGGCUGGCUACAUGCUAAGUACAAUUUCCACUGUUUGAUUAAAGUUAGAGGGGAUUCAUUAGUCUAAGCUAAUCAGAACACUGAUGGUGCGCUUUAUACUGAAGUAUAAACUGCCUGUUAUCUUAGGAGGUUUUCCCACAGAGAUCAGGUAGUGUUUCCAGAAGACCUGAGGCAGGGACCCUCUGUGAGUUAGCAGCCUUAGUACCAUUGACUUCCCAAAUGGCCCACAGCAAACUACCUUUCUUGGCCAUUCCCCAUUCCAGGGCAAUCCUGCUGGUGAAUCAUUCAUGUAUUUGUAGCUAAACAUUACAGUUCAGCAGAGGUAUUAGGUUGACUUUCUGUCACUCUUCAUUUAGAGGCUUUUUUUCCUUGUAGAACAUUCUCUUUUUUUUUCCCAUUCCGUUUUAUAUAAAAUAAUGUUUCCCUGGAGAAAUCAUUACAUAGUCUUCUAGAUUUAAGUGUUUUGAUUGUUUGAUGCCAUAUUGACUUAAUUUAAAAUAAUUAUUUAAGUAAGUAAAAAAAUCUACAGAAAUACUUCAGGGUUUUUUUGUUUGUUUUGUCUUUGAACUGACAGGAGUACGUGCUGUGUAUUUAGGUGAAGGAUUUAACUAGCCAGUUAUCAUGUGGCACCAGGAGUCACUUGCAACUCACCUUUAAAGAUUUGGCUGGUCUUUUCAGUUUUUGGUGUGUCACAGUUAACAAUAAGAUGUCAAAGAGCUUGCUCAAUCAUCUGGGUAAUUACAACCAAACAUAUCUCUUAGAAGGAAGAAAUAUUAUUCUUGUUUGCCGUCAUAUUGAAUUUGGGAAAUCUUCUUGAUGACUCUGAAUCACCAAUACUGAAUUUAGCUAGUUAUUACACUGUUCAUCAUUAUGGUUAGGGGGAUGGAUCAGGGUAGUAUUUCUGAAAGGAUGGGUUGUGACACAGCAGUCAUGAAACAUGGUCAGGUAUUGGCAAUUUGUUUAGAAUUGUGCAAAUUAUAAAGGAAAGGCAACCUAGCUUCUGCAUUCCCGGUGACUUCUAUUCUUCAAGGUCAAGAAUGCUUUUCAGCCUUUCAAGAACAAUUCCACAUAUUUAUCACUUUUACAAGCAAUAGAUACUAAUUCAUUUGUAUAAAGAUAAGGGCUGCAAUUUUUUCUUUUUCUUUGGAUAACGGGACAUAAUCUUAAAAAAAGAAAAAAAACAACACUGGGAAAUACUGGCUUAAGGAGUUGCUAGUUGCAAGCCACUAAUUUUCUCAGUAAUAAUGAUUUAAAUUCAGGUGAACAGGAAAAAGAUAAUUUCUUGGUCUUUCCUGACUAUUUGGUGGCCUACAUUAAAUGAUUUUAAGAUCUCUGUUUAGCUCCCAUAUUAGAAAAACGGGCACUGCUGCAGUUAGGCAUGGAGGACUCAGGUACUUAGGAGCCUAAAUUAUAUGCUUACCCUUAAAUCGUUCAGGAUAUUUGACAGUAUCAAAUCAUAUUGGACAGGCAAUUUGAGGGACUAUUUGCAGCAUCCACUUACUGAAUAAUUAUAAAAUUUCUGUCCCUGAAGCUGUCAAAAUAACUCACAUAAAAGUGUAAAAAAGCAGAACAAAAAUAAUUUAAUUCCUCUUGGGGAAGGAGCUUAAAACAUUCUCAAGCAUCUUAAUAAAUUAACUAUAGACAACUAUGACACGACUAAUUUUCAAUGAAGGCUUUCUGCUCUAAAAAAACCCACUACGAUCUUUUCCUAAUUUCCAAAAGCACCCUCCCAGCAUGUUGUUCAAGAUUAUGCCUCUUAAUUACCAUGUAUUCGUUUUUCAUUUCCUUUUUGCUUUUCACAGUAAUGAGGCUUACAUUUCCUGUAAAGUAAGUUUUUCAAACUUUGAGGUGGUAUGUUUAUAUCUUACUUUUUGCAUUGGUUGCUUUAUCUGCUGAUUCAAAGGGAAAAAAACACCUGAUUAAAAAAAAAGUAUUUACAGACCUUACAGCUCCCUGUACUGUAGCAAAGUACAGAAUUUCUGUGAAAUUCUGGCAAUAUCUUAAAAAGUAACUGGGGAAGUAGCUUACAAAUCUUCUAGGGAAUAGCCAACUACCUAGAUCUGGAAGUGUGCUGUGCUGCAGCUGACCUGCAGUCCAGAGGGCAGGGAGUGCCUGGAAAAAACAGAAAAGAAAAAAACAUUAGUAAGAUAGGCAUAAAAGAGGCCAUAUUAAUCUUAUUUACCUGCUGUAAAUGUCAUUGCCUUGGAACCAAGACAGCCACUCUUUCCCUGAUUUCAUCUCCAUUGGUUAUACAUAUAUUUGUUGUCUGAAAUUGAAGAGGGAUGGUGUUUUGGGGAUUGUUUUUUUUUGCUCCUUUAUUCUGGUGAGAUGACAGAAAAGUAGUAUGGGUUACUGUCAAUGCCUUGCCUGGCUAACCUUGAAAAGGGGAGACAGGGUGAGAAAUCUCUGCAGCGCUGCUGUUACACAGCAGCUUCAGAAGGAGUGAUAAACUGCUGUUUUACUGCAGUGUCAGUGGGCAUCGUGACACAGGAAGAACUUCAGAGCAGAGUGUAGUCAUAUUGCAGAGAUCAUGUACUCUGUCCUCCGCAGGGGAAGCUGGUAGUUUUUCUGUCCUAUAAUUAGCCACUGCCAACAAAAGCACAUUGCGUCACUGGAAUUAGUCUUGUGGCAUUCUCACCUUUGCCUUCCAAAAUGAAGGAAGUACCUUUGAGUGACAGCUAGUACACCAAGGAAGUAAAGUACUGAUGGAACAAAUACACCCUUAGUUACCUGCUAAAGGAUAUAUAGUCUUCACUGUUAGCAAAAUCAACGCAGUUUAAAAGGGAAUGGUAAGUGGUCCCCUGCUGAAAAUAUAUUGACAUAUAUAUAGCUUCUUUUCCCUGAAAUUCUGAUCAUAAAGAGAAAGGCUUACAGGGUUUUAAUAGUGGUUUUACUUAACAAUCUGUUUCUUUAGCAGCAUGUACUUCCCAGAUUAUGUCAGCUUUGCCCUCUGUAGGUCCUUUAGCGUAGAGGAGGAUGUAUCUGUUCUCCAUCACUGCAGCUUUGUCCCAGAGGACAAUUAUUGCAACAAACCAGGCAGAACCUGCCACAAAUGAGUAACAUAUCUGGUCUUUUGUGAACAUACUAGUGAAUCCUAGGAACACUUUUUCUGAUUCGUGUAAAGCUGUUGUGAAUUAGCAACUCCCUGGAAGACAAUAAAGUUCCAAAACUGUGCAAGUCUGUAUAUGGCCAGCAAUCAGAUCUGUCUGGAUCCUCAUGAGCGGUACGUAACGUGGAUGGAAAGAUUGAAUGAUUCAUGUAAUGGGUUAAAAUUUAAAACUCCUUGCAGCUUUCUAUUUACUGUGUACUUUCUUGUGCAUCAUGAGUAUCACUUGACUGCUGUUACUUACAAUAGUUUCAUGUCAUACAACUUGUUACUUUCUAUGCUCUAAAUAAAGGCAGUUGAAAUCAGUGA